rnacentral:tmRNA from 1 species
GGGGGUGUACUGGCUUCGACAGGAUGGUGAAAGUCGAGUAGAUGCGUGUCGAGCUACGCUGGUGGAGCUCGUUAAUACAACUGGCGGACAAACAACUGGCGACUCUUUUGAGUAUCGCAUGGCUGCGUAAGUAAACACUUACCCCAUCAUCGGACGAUAGUUUACCUUUCGGGUAUCGUUUUGGUGUAACCCUUAGAUAGGUUGGUGCUGGAGAUGUGCAAACAGGUCAAAGGUACGAGACAAACACUGAUUGCAAGGGAAAUGACCUGUCUGUGGGUGAACACUUCUCAUUACCAUAUACAGACUUUGCACGGAGAUUCUGCUGUCUUUCCAUUUUGGACGCGGGUUCGACUCCCGCCACCUCCACAA